CGCUAACGGGAAUCCGGGAGAUUCGGAUCUCCAGGAUCAUCCAGUGAGUAGCUGAGAAACAGAGAAAGAUUCCGAGAGCCUUAAAAGUUGGGAAUAGUUAAGAGAGGCAGUUGCAGGUUAUGCGCACGACUGAUUAAUGUAGGGAGUUGUGUCGUCGAAAGAAAGGGGUAAUUAAUAGCAAUAAUCAAGGGCGUAGAGAAAAGUCCCGUCAAAUCCCGAUAGGCUUCUGUUGAGGGUUUAUAUGUCCUGCAGUUGAAUCCUGCCUUACCUCCAGAAGCUCAAACCAGCCAAUGUAGCCUUGCACCCUCCGUCCCGUUUUAUCCUCACCACAGCCCUGUGCGAUAGAGUAGGUUGAGUGAGUUGGACUAAUUCGGGGUUACCAGUACAUUUCAUGGCUGAAAUUGAACCUGCUUCUUGCUGGCUCGCUCAUUCAGGCUAGGAAAUGAAAAGGGAUUAGGUUGCUAAUCAACGCGGGUAUCGGUGAAUACAGCACUAAACGGAGUCAGUUGUCCCAGAUUUAUUGAGAAAACAGGAGCAGUUAAGUACUGUAAGCAAGGGGUGAGAAGAGGAGAAGGACUGAUUUCCACCCAGAGAGCAAACUCCUUAUCUGCCGUACUGAAAGAAGCCAAGGGACACUCUGGAGCCCCCACCAGCACAGACUGACCUUAGUAUGUCUGCCAGCGGUUGUAGUUUUGCAGAUCGAUGUGUGUCUGUGCUGUUCUGCAAGUUUUGCCAACAAGUGCUUAGUUCACGGGGUAUGAAAGCUGUGCUCCUGGCUGAUACAGAGAUAGAUCUCUAUUCCACAGACAUGCCUCCCACCAGUACUGUUGACUUCAUUGGAAACUGCUAUUACACAGAAAUCUGCAAAUGUAAACUGAUGAAUGUUGCUUGCUUGAAAUGUGGUAAUGUUGUAGGCUACCAUGUGAUUGCUCCAUGCAAACCUUGCUUGUUCUCUUGCAACAAUGGACACUUCUGGAUGUUUCACAGUAAGGCCGUUUUUGGAAUCAACAGAUUUGAUUCAUCUGGUACAGACUUCUUGCUUUGGGGCAACUUAUCAGAUCUACAGGAAGGUACUGAUGAAGAUGUAUCCAGCAUCUCUGAAGAAGAAUAUAUCAGAUAAAUAUUCUCUGCAGUGCACUGCAUGGUGUGUUUCUCAUAUUCACAAGAAGUAUAAUGCACUGAUCCCAAGCAGACAGUACAAAAGGAAGAAAAAAAAAUACUUCAAAGGCUGAUACCUGUCAUCUAAAAUUACCUGAUCUAGCUCCCUUCUUCUUCUUCCCUUCUUACACCCUAAUUUGGAAACCAACACUAUAACACCAUCUGCUGCUACACAUGAAGACUACAUCUUAGUUGAAAAGGUAAUAAGCAAGGAAAAAAAUUGAGUUAUACCCCCAGCAAAAGUGCAUGGAUGGCAUGAACAGACUACCUGCAAAUGUUCUAGCUUUCCACCUCUUUGUCUGGUUGUGAGAAGAGAUGGCUAACUUCAAAAUACCUUUCUCUGGAUUUGGAUGAAAGGCUGAGAACUACUUAUGGGCACAAGUUGCCUACUACUGCAGUUUUGGCUCAAAUAAAUUACUGCUCUUUC